rnacentral:misc_RNA from 1 species
AAGUCGUAACAAGGUUUCCGUAGGUGAACCUGCGGAAGGAUCAUUAACACGUAUCCACGUAUCUACCUCUUGCGAACUUGUUUUGUUUUGUAGUCGUGCUCAGGUAUUUUAUCAAGGAAGUAGAUGGCCAUGUCAGGAGACAAAAUUCAUUUUUUUUUUCUUGUUCUACUUGCCUUCCACCCAAUGUUUUGAGUGCUGGUGUAUUGAGAUCCUGUGAUGCCUUUUGUGGGCGUCCACAGUUUCCUACUAGCAGAACGCUCCUUGGGAUGGGUAUCUGGCGUGACUCGAAUCAUGGUGGUUAUUCACUAUUAACCCCUUUUUUUUAAAAUUUUUGUCUCAGUGUGAGUGGGUGGUGCCGCUUUGCGGUGCGCCCUCCUCAUCAAAAAAAAAUAACAAAGAUACAACUCUUAGCAACGGAUAUCUAGGUUCU